CCAACAUACAUUUUGUCUUCUAUAAAAUAUCUGUGCCCCUGCUGAAUGCAUCUGUGGGUGGCUGCAUCUGUGUCUGUAUGUCAUGGAGAAUAAUUAUCGACAGAUCACAGAUACAGAUCUCAGAGGUGAACUGUGUAUGCAUUCCCGUAAUUUCCUCAUCUCGUAAGGAUCUGAAUUUUAAUCUUGGAUAUAGGCGCUUUCCCUUAUCUUUUAUAACAGAGGUUGGAAAUCCCAG
rnacentral:lncRNA from 1 species